rnacentral:tRNA from 1 species
GAGAGAUGGCUGAGUGGUCGAUAGCGGUAGUCUUGAAAACUAUUGUACAGUGAUGUACCGGGGGUUCGAAUCCCUCUCUCUU